UGAAUAAAACCAUAAAUACAAACUUUCUUCUUUCUUCCUUGAUCCUUGAUGCUACCAGGGGAGAAGAGAAUCCCUCGAGCCUGACAUGUGAGUGCCAUUAUUUACCUGAGUUCCCACCCUGCAUGUUUGUUUUUAUACUUUAACCAACCUCAGGGUCAUUUUUAAUGAAGAGCAGACCACAAAUCCAAUAAAUGAAUAAAUUGAUAAGGUAGGCGUAACAUCUACCUGCUGUAGCAGUUCCAACCCUGAAAACUGCAUAUAAGAAUUCAAAACCAAAAGCAGUUCUUGACCAUUAUGCAAAAGGCCUUGAUCUCAUAAUUGUUUUGAUUUCUACUAAUAAAUAAGCUUGAAAUCUUCAUAGGCAUAGAGGGUUUUUUUAAGUAAUAAUAAAAAAAAUCCUCACUAUAACGAUGUUACCUAUGAAAUAUAACCAAAGACUACCACUUCUCUCACUCACUCACUCACAGACAUACACAUCAAUUACUCAAAUCUAUUUGGCACUACUAAAGCUUUCAGAGAUAAGGUGAGUCAUAAAACAUGACAUAGUAUUGGACAAAAAUACAGACCUUGUAUGUAACCUGCUUUUAUUUCUUUAAUGAACUUGAAAACCCUAACCCUACUUGAACUUUAACAACAAUCUUUUUUCUAGCAAGAACUCAGAUACAUCAAAUAUAGGUGGUGUUUUUUUUUUCAAAUCAGAAAAGCACCAUCUUUAGACAUGCAGGUUUUUUUGGAACAGGAGACAAAUAUAAUGGUUGCACUCACCUAACCCUGAAGCAAAAUAGAACAGGGGUGGGGAGAUGGAUAAGGAGAAAGGAUGCCUUGCUUCACAAGGGUUUACUAGUCCCAUAAAUCAGCUCUUUCAUAUAAUUGACAGGCUGGCUUUCAUUGACCUCUUUAUUUAGGGAGAUCAGCUGGAAAAUUAUGCUUGGUGUAGGUCAUAGCAAUGAAGUGGAAGGUCAAAUAUUGAUAGGAUUUUUUUGUCCCGAGAAUUUAAGGGCUGGUCUGUAUAAUAGCAACCACCAUUUUUUAUUUAUUUUUUAGCUUCAUGUUUGAGAAACCAAAUAACAGACAUGCUACAGCCUUCAGACUUUGUAUGUACUUAACAUAGAAUGGGAUUUGGGACUCUAUGGGAAGAGAAAUACAAUUUACUUCAGUUUGGUGUUCUCCUAAAGAAAUCGCGUUGCAUGUCAAAUCUAUACACGUAGAGUACUGUAAGGUCGUUGCUGUGUUCCUUCUGGAACAUAUUAUAUAUAAAUGUAACAUUUUAGCCAGCAGCAGCAGUGACAGUAAUAGGAGCCGGGUUCUUUUCAAAGUUUGACAAUGCUCAUACUCAUCAAUUGAUAUCAUGCUACGUAGGUUCCCAGAAGCCAGUCUUUUUUCCACUUUUAGUAUAUGGGGACGCCAACCAGAUGAGAAAUGGCUGGCAUUUUCUCUUUGACAUCUGAUGGGAGGGCGUUCCACAGGCCAGGUGCCACUACUGAGAAGGCCCUCUACCUGGUUCCCUGUAGCUUUGCUUCUCGCAGUGAGGGAACCGCCAGAAGGCCCUUGGCGCUGGACCUCAGUGUCUGGGCAGAACGAUGGGGGUGGAGACGCUCCUUCAGGUAUACUGGACCGAGGCUGUUUAGGGCUUUAAAGGUCAGCAACAACGCUUUGAAUUGAAUGGGAAGUCCCUAUUUCCAUCGAAUAAAUGUUGGCUUAAGUUUUCCUGGGCCACCAUCCACUUUAUCCCUUAAGGUGUCAGAAGUUCAAAUAAGCCACAUUGCCCAGCUAUUUCCCCUCUAUCUGGCACUAAAGUGCCGUUGAUGUUUCAUGCCUCCUGAAGGGCUCUAGGCAUGCUCAUUUUUCAUCAGGUCACCGUAGUGGGAUUUCCCCCCAUCCCCUGUUCUUUUUUAUUAUUAUUUCUACAGUAGUACUUUCCUGUGUGCCCAGUACAGAAACCCCUAUGCUCUGUAUCUGACCUGGUUUCACUGUUGUUCUGAUAGACACAGAACCACCAAGUUUCCUAUGCAAAGGAAUAAUAACAUGCAAGAAUCUGGAUGAUCUGGGAAUUGAAUGGAGGCUGAAAAAGUAUCAAACCAAAAAAAGACCACCAAAAAGAGGAAAGGGGGAAAAAGUCCAACCACCCAACUCUUACUUAAAAGUCUUCAAAAAGCUCACCCAUUCAUCACUGGUUGGCAGGUGAAUAGAAAAGCCUCCUGCGAUGUAUUGCUAUGUCUGACAGAGAAAAAAAAGAAAGAUUUUUUUCCCCUCCCUAUUAACAUCACUGAGCAAGAUUCUCCCACUGAAGCCUGUCAGCUGAGCUCCAUUAAAGGCAAAGGAGCUGUGCAAAUUUACAUCAGCGGAGGAUCUGAACCAUGACUGCUUUCAUUAAGCCGAGACAGAAAGAAAAGCAUUGCCAUGAUCAGAAAUGAACAAAAACUAACGCUGAGAGGAGAUCAACCCCCUGGUUUCAGAUGUCAGGUGCUUCUGCUGAGGAAUUCUCUCGACUGCUUUCACAAUCUGGCAAGUCCUACAAACAAUAGAUGGUUGGGCUUCUGAAAUAAUUGGCGAGUCUGAUAAUGUUGCCUUGAAAAGGUGAGCAGGAGAUAUUCUGG
rnacentral:lncRNA from 1 species